rnacentral:rRNA from 1 species
GACGAACGCUGGCGGCGUGCCUAACACAUGCAAGUAGAACGCAUUGUCGAACGCGUGUGUGACGCGUAGGUACCCGCGUCAUAGCGGGGGAUAAAAAUGGUAAACGAUAGCUAAUACCGCAUACUGUGAGCUAUCCCUGCGUUGUGUUAGUUAGUUGGUGGGGUAAAGGCUCACCAAGGCGACGCUACAUGGCCGACCUGAGUGGGUGAUGGGCCACACGGGGACUGAGACACGGCCCAGACUCCUACGGGAGGCAGCAGUAGGGAAUCUUCCGCAAUGGACGGAAGUCUGACCGAGCAACGCCGCGUGAGUGAGGAAGGUCUUCGGGUCGUAAAGCUCUGUUGGUAGAGAAGCGGUAACUGACGAGAAAGCGACGGCUAACUACGUGCCAGCAGCCGCGGUAAUAC